rnacentral:rRNA from 1 species
AUAAAAUAUUACUUUGGAUAGUUUAGUUUCCUGGGCGAUGAAGAACGCAAUGAAUUGCGAUAAGUGAUAGGAACAAUAAAAUGUGAAUAUCCAAAAUUUGAAUGCUUGAAAGUAUACUUAUGAACUUCAAGGUAUAUAUGAUAUUCAAUAUCCAA